rnacentral:rRNA from 1 species
CACGUAGGGCGCAAGCGUUGUCCGGAAUUAUUGGGCGUAAAGAGCUCGUAGGCGGUCUGUUGCGUCCGCUGUGAAAACUCGGGGCUUAACCCCGAGCCUGCAGUGGAUACGGGCAGACUAGAGGUAGGUAGGGGAGAAUGGAAUUCCCGGUGUAGCGGUGAAAUGCGUAGAUAUCUGGAAGAACACCAGUGGCGAAGGCGCUCUACUGGGCCGUAACUGACACUGAGGGACGAAAGCUAGGGGAGCGAAAGGG